CCUACGGGAGGCAGCAGUAAGGAAUAUUGGUCAAUGGGCGGAAGCCUGAACCAGCCAUGCCGCGUGCAGGAAGACUGCCCUACGGGUUGUAAACUGCUUUUGUACCGGAAUAAACCUUGAUACGUGUAUCAAGCUGAAUGUACGGUAAGAAUAAGGAUCGGCUAACUCCGUGCCAGCAGCCGCGGUAAUACGGAGGAUCCAAGCGUUAUCCGGAUUUAUUGGGUUUAAAGGGUGCGUAGGUGGCUUUUUAAGUCAGGGGUGAAAGACGGUAGCUUAACUAUCGCAGUGCCUUUGAUACUGAAGAGCUUGAAUGAACUAGAGGUAGGCGGAAUGUGACAAGUAGCGGUGAAAUGCAUAGAUAUGUCACAGAACACCAAUUGCGAAGGCAGCUUACUAUGGUUUAAUUGACACUGAGGCACGAAAGCGUGGGGAUCAAACAGGAUUAGAUACCCUGGUAGUCCACGCCCUAAACGAUGAAUACUCGAUGUUGGCGAUAUACGGUCAGCGUCUAAGCGAAAGCGUUAAGUAUUCACCUGGGAGUACGCCGCAGGUGAAACUCAAAUGAAAUUGAGG
rnacentral:rRNA from 1 species